GACAAGGAAGGAGCAACUGACUGUGAGCCUUCAACAAGCUACUCCCAUUUUCUGGCUCUUUAGUCUCCUCAUUUGUAAAAUGAGGGGGCUGGAGUAAGUAAGCUCUAUAAGGCUCUCAGCUGUGACAUCUAUGCAUAAUCACAGAAGAUCGAAGUGUACAGAACACCAUGGAAACUGAAGAGAGAUUUUGAAAGGAGGCUUUAAGAGGUCAUGCGCAUCCAAUGUUGCAGAGGUGUCAGAGACUGAGGACUUAAAUGAAGCCACUGAUUAGCAAUUUAAAGAUCCUUUCCAAGAGAUAGAAUGUUCCCUGUCAUCCAGAGGUGGAGAGAACAUUUCCUGCCGAGC